rnacentral:rRNA from 1 species
UGGGGAAUAUUGGACAAUGGGCGCAAGCCUGAUCCAGCCAUGCCGCGUGAGUGAUGAAGGCCUUAGGGUUGUAAAGCUCUUUCGGCGGGGAAGAUAACGACGGUACCCGCAGAAGAAGCCCCGGCUAACUUCGUGCCAGCAGCCGCGGUAAUACGAAGGGGGCUAGCGUUGCUCGGAAUCACUGGGCGUAAAGCGCACGUAGGCGGCUUACUAAGUCAGGGGUGAAAUCCUGGAGCUCAACUCCAGAACUGCCUUUGAUACUGGUGAGCUUGAGUUCGGGAGAGGUGAGUGGAACUGCGAGUGUAGAGGUGAAAUUCGUAGAUAUUCGCAAGAACACCAGUGGCGAAGGCGGCUCACUGGCCCGAUACUGACGCUGAGGUGCGAAAGCGUGGGGAGCAAACA